GACGAACGCUGGCGGCGUGCCUAAUACAUGCAAGUUGAGCGAUGAAGAUUGGUGCUUGCACCAAUUUGAAGAGCAGCGCACGGGUGAGUAACGCGUGGGGCAUCUGCCUUUGAGCGGGGGACCACAUUUGGAAACGAAUGCUAAUACCGCAUAACCACUUUAAACAUAAGGUUGAAGUUUGAAAGAUGCAAUUGCAUCACUCAAAGAUGAUCCCGCGUUGUAUUAGCUAGUUGGUGAGGUAAAGGCUCACCAAGGCGAUGAUACAUAGCCGACCUGAGAGGGUGAUCGGCCACAUUGGGACUGAGACACGGCCCAAACUCCUACGGGAGGCAGCAGUAGGGAAUCUUCGGCAAUGGACGAAAGUCUGACCGAGCAACGCCGCGUGAGUGAAGAAGGUUUUCGGAUCGUAAAACUCUGUUGGUAGAGAAGAACGUUGGUGAGAGUGGAAAGCUCAUCAAGUGACGGUAACUACCCAGAAAGGGACGGCUAACUACGUG
rnacentral:rRNA from 1 species